rnacentral:rRNA from 1 species
CUCAGUAGCGGCGAGCGAAGCGGCAACAGCUCAAAUUUGAAAUCUGGCCCGCCGUUCCUUCGGGGGCGGAGGGGUCCGAGUUGUACUUUGCAGAGGAUGCUUCGGGCGCGGCGCCUUUCCGAGUGCCCUGGAACGGGCCGCCACAGAGGGUGAGAGCCCCGUACUGGAGGCCGCCAAGCCGUAGUGAAGCUCCCUCGACGAGUCGAGUAGUUUGGGAAUGCUGCUCUAAGCGGGAGGUAAAUUCCUUCUAAAGCUAAAUACGGGCCAGAGACCGAUAGCGCACAAGUAGAGUGAUCGAAAGGUGAAAAGCACUCUGGAAAGAGAGUCAAACAGCACGUGAAAUUGUUGAAAGGGAAGCGCUCGUGGCCAGACGUGCGCCCCGCGGCCCACUUGGCGGGCCUCUCUGCUCUUCGGAGCGGGGGGGUCUUCCGGGGCGUGCCGCGCGGGUUUUUGCAGGCCAGCAUCGGUUUCCGAAACCAGGGGGACAAAGGCCGCGGGGACGUGGCUCCCCCCUCCGUGGGGGAGUGUUAUAGCCCGCGGCGCCAUGCCCCUGGGGGGACCGAGGUCCGCGCCGUCUUUUGGCGGCAAGGAUGCUGGCGUAGUGGCCACCGGCGACCCGUCUUGAAACACGGACCAAGGAGUCAAGCACUGGGGCGAGUGUCCGGGUGUGCAAAGCCCGCACGCGCAAUGAAAGUGAACGCAUGUGGGAUCUUCGGCGCACCACCGAGCGAUCCCGACGUACUCGGACGGAUUUGAGUAAGAGCCCCGCCGCUUG